CCUACGGGGUGCAGCAGUGGGGAAUAUUGGACAAUGGGCGAAAGCCUGAUCCAGCCAUGCCGCGUGUGUGAAGAAGGCCUUCGGGUUGUAAAGCACUUUCAGUGGGGAAGAAAGCCUUGGGGCUAAUACCCUCGAGGAAGGACAUCACCCACAGAAGAAGCACCGGCUAACUCCGUGCCAGCAGCCGCGGUAAUACGGAGGGUGCGAGCGUUAAUCGGAAUUACUGGGCGUAAAGCGCGCGUAGGCGGUCUGAUAAGCCGGUUGUGAAAGUCCCGGGCUCAACCUGGGAACGGCAUCCGGAACUGUCAGGCUAGAGUGCAGGAGAGGAAGGUAGAAUUCCCGGUGUAGCGGUGAAAUGCGUAGAGAUCGGGAGGAAUACCAGUGGCGAAGGCGGCUUUCUGGACUGACACUGACGCUGAGGUGUGAAAGCGUGGGUAGCAAACAGGAUUAGAUACCCUAGUAGUC
rnacentral:rRNA from 1 species